CAGUCGCCGCGGUAAUACGAAGGGGGCUAGCGUUGUUCGGAAUUACUGGGCGUAAAGCGCACGUAGGCGGACAUUUAAGUCAGGGGUGAAAUCCCGGGGCUCAACCCCGGAACUGCCUUUGAUACUGGGUGUCUAGAGUAUGGAAGAGGUGAGUGGAAUUCCGAGUGUAGAGGUGAAAUUCGUAGAUAUUCGGAGGAACACCAGUGGCGAAGGCGGCUCACUGGUCCAUUACUGACGCUGAGGUGCGAAAGCGUGGGGAGCAAACAGGAUUAGAUACCCCCGUAGUCCCUGUCUCUUAUAC
rnacentral:rRNA from 1 species